UACGUAGGGUGCAAGCGUUAAUCGGAAUUACUGGGCGUAAAGCGCGCGCAGGCGGUUUCUCAAGUCAGUGGUGAAAGCCCGGAGCUCAACUCCGGAACUGCCAUUGAAACCGUGAAACUUGAGGACGAGAGAGGUGAGUGGAAUUCCCAGUGUAGAGGUGAAAUUCGUAGAUAUUGGGAAGAACACCGGUGGCGAAGGCGGCUCACUGGCUCGUUUCUGACGCUCAGGCGCGACAGCGUGGGGAUCAAACAGG
rnacentral:rRNA from 1 species